rnacentral:rRNA from 1 species
AUUGAACGCUGGCGGCAUGCCUCACACAUGCAAGUCGAACGGUAACAGGUCUUCGGAUGCUGACGAGUGGCGAACGGGUGAGUAAUGCAUCGGAACGUGCCCAGUAGUGGGGGAUAGCCCGGCGAAAGCCGGAUUAAUACCGCAUACGACCUACGGGUGAAAGGGGGGGAUCGCAAGACCUCUCGCUAUUGGAGCGGCCGAUGUCAGAUUAGCUAGUUGGUGGGGUAAAGGCCUACCAAGGCAACGAUCUGUAGUUGGUCUGAGAGGACGACCAGCCACACUGGGACUGAGACACGGCCCAGACUCCUACGGGAGGCAGCAGUGGGGAAUUUUGGACAAUGGGCGCAAGCCUGAUCCAGCAAUGCCGCGUGCAGGAAGAAGGCCUUCGGGUUGUAAACUGCUUUUGUCAGGGAAGAAAUCUUCUGGGUUAAUACCCCGGGGGGAUGACGGUACCUGAAGAAUAAGCACCGGCUAACUACGUGCCAGCCGCCGCCGUAACAC